rnacentral:rRNA from 1 species
CACGUAGGGCGCAAGCGUUGUCCGGAAUUAUUGGGCGUAAAGAGCUCGUAGGCGGUCUGUUGCGUCCGCUGUGAAAACUCGGGGCUUAACCCCGAGCCUGCAGUGGAUACGGGCAGACUAGAGGUAGGUAGGGGAGACUGGAAUUCCUGGUGUAGCGGUGAAAUGCGCAGAUAUCAGGAGGAACACCCAUGGCGAAGGCAGCAUACUGGGCAUCAUCUGACGCUGAGGCGCGAAAGCGUGGGUAGCAAACAGG